UGGCGUACGUUGCCUAUUUGCACUUUAGUUUUCUCAAAUCUUUGGUCAUUCCUAGUUAGUAUGUUUAAGUUAUGUUUCAAUUGCAGAAGAGUGCAAGAUGUUUGCCUAACUCCUCAACUCUCUGCACUGAUGGACUCCAACACACCCCCUCAACAUCUAUACCACAAGUUGUUUUUGUUGCAGCCACUAAUAGGUAUUAUUAUUAUUAUUUGUUAUCUCCUAGAAUUUAUGAUGUGAUCUAUCUGGGUGUGUUAUUUUUGUUAGAGUAUGUAGAGCUAGGAUUGUCACAAGUGUCACUUAGUCAUUGACUGAUGUCACUUGGUCUGCAUGACAGGACCGGCCCUAGAUUCCCCCAUUGGAAUCCGUGACGAACCCUUGUUUCUGCCCAGCAUUUACCUAAUGCCAGGCCCACUUACUAACAUAACCUUUUCGCCCCCGGUUUAAACAAAAUUUGGGUCGAGAUUUCAACCGAAAUUUCGGCAGAAUCUCCCAUGGAAAAUGAACAUUUCCAAAUUUCAAAUUCCUGCAAACAAGCAAUAAAUAAUCCCAACGGCAGCACACAUAAUGCUGUAGUACACAAUUUACAACAUAGGCCUCCAGCCUCAAAACUUAACCCUACAUGGGCAAUAUCAGAGCUUCCUACAAAACUUUAAUUUACAGAAGUAUUAGGAGUUUGAAAACGAAAUAAAGGAAUGUCCUACAAGUAGUAGUGUGUGUUGUACAGAAUACUCGACAUAGACCGGUGAAUCUCGUCGAGCUAUAACCUGGGGGGGUGCAAAACAGGAAAUUGUGAGUGAACAAAAAUAAAAUUUAUAACACAAAAUAUAUCUGAACAUACUAACCCCACCGUUUUAGAAAAACGAUGUAAACCAUGCAAUAAAAUCCAUUUUUAUCCAUAUACCAUUCGAUACUUGAAACAUUUAUAUUCCCAUGACACACACACACACACACACACACACACACACAUACACACACAUCAAGAUAUAUACCAGGGAAAACAAUCCAACCCGGGGAUUGUUUAUUCUCAACAUAUCGGGAUCCUGCAUCUUACAAGUGGCUAGGGAUGAGCAGUCCAACCGGGGGACUAUUGCUCCACAGCACACACGCUGGGACCUUCAUUACACGUGCAGCUAAUCCAUUCAUACGCAUAGACUAACAUCAUAACACACCUCCCACAUUUCAACUCAACCAAAACAUAGUUAUGCAUGCACUUGCCAAUAUGAAAAUCAUAUUCUUUUGAAAACAAAAUCCACUCACAACUAGUCCGAAGCAAACUCAACCCUUAGAGGGUCCUUCAGACUGAGUACGGGUAGCCUGAGUACCUAUGAAAAGAACAUAAGGAUAAUAUUAACAUCUGAAUCGAAUCGAAUCAAACUUAACUUGAAACUUAAUUUCUCGAAGAAUAAAAUGAUUUCGGAAGAUUCACGGUCAACUGAGCAAUCAAACUUCUCAUGUCGGUCAACCGGGCCUGUGGGGCUCAAGCCCUCUGAUUUUUGAUCCGAAGGUUCCUAUAGGUCCAUUAAUGUAUACUUAUCAAGUUCCAAAGAUUUGUUCUCGAUCGAUUGAUCGGAUUUAAGCCAAUCGCAAGAUCGGACGGCGAUCGUUUCGCUUACUUAGAAUCAUUGAUUUAAGAGUAUCUGGGACUCCAAUUCUCGAUCAACUAGUUCUUACACGAUCCUAUAAACACGGGGAACAACAUAUUUAGAAUUGAAGCCGAUCCAACGGCCCGAACAUAUCGAACCCGGAUAUUGUCGAAUAAGCGUAAAUUCGUUCAACUGUCAUACGAUAAUCAAAUUCGAAUCCGAGUAUACAGUCGCACUCGGGACGACAUGAGGAUCAAUUC
rnacentral:lncRNA from 1 species